GCCUUCGGGUUGUAAACUCCUGUCAGGGGGAACGACGCUAUGCCUGGCAUGGCCGACGGUACCCCCAAAGGAAGCCCCGGCUAAUUCCGUGCCAGCAGCCGCGGUAAUACGGAAGGGGCGAGCGUUGUUCGGAAUCAUUGGGCGUAAAGGGCGCGUAGGCGGUGGGGUUGGUCCGCUGUGAAAGGCCACGGUAUCCCCGUGGAGGGUCAGUGGAAACGGCCCGACUUGAGGCUGGGAGGGGCUGGUGGAAUUCCCUGUGUAGCGGUGAAAUGCGUAGAGAUGGGGGAGAACACUCGUGGCGAAGGCGGCCAGCUGGCCCAGGCCUGACGCUGAGGCGCGACAGCGUGGGGAGCAAACAGGAUUAGAUACCCUGGUAGUCCACGCCGUAAACGAUGGGCACUAGGUGUCGGUGGUCUUGAUUCAUCGGUGGCGGCGCUAACGCAGUAAGUGCCCCGCCUGGGGAGUACGGGUCGCAGGCUGAAACUCAAGGAAUUGACGGGGGCCGCACAAGCGGUGGACAUGUGGUUAAUUCGACGCACGCGA
rnacentral:rRNA from 1 species